rnacentral:pre_miRNA from 1 species
UUGAGCUCCUGGCCUUGAGAACUGGUUUCCAAGGGUUGUGGACCUAGCUCAGCCCCUGGGAUCCAGUUCUUAAUUCUGGAUGCUGCCA